GUCAACCUUUACGAGUGGAGGGGAAAAGAGCGGAAAAAAGAAGUCUAGACUUCUGCUGAGAGCAAAGCUCGGCGCCCGCGCUGCGCGGCGAUGACGACAUUACUUCGCGCCCGCAGCCGAGCGUUGUCAGCGCGGGGUGGCGGGCGCCUGCGCAGUGGCUCCGAGCGGGCGGUUGCUUGUUGGUUGUUGUAGUAACGGGGGAAGCAGCCGUCGGCGGUGGCCGUGAGCCCGGCUGGGGAAGGAGGAGGGUGGUAGGCGCAGAGCGCGGUCCCCGCCGGCCCGCCCGGAGUCAUGGGAAGAUGAGACAGGAAACAGUGCCACCUAAAUUGUUUGAUCCGGUGAAUCUGCAAGGAAAGGUCUCCGAGGCCCCCAUCUGCUGACUGCAUGACAAACCCUAAAGGAAAUGCCAGUCGUGAUGGCCCGGGACCUGGAGGAAACAGCAUCGUCCUCAGAGGAUGAGGAGGUGGUAAGCCAAGAGGAUCAUCCGUGUAUCAUGUGGACUGGAGGCUGCAGGAGAAUUCCAGUUUUGGUGUUCCAUGCUGAGGCUAUUCUGACAAAGGACAACAAUAUUCGAGUAAUUGGAGAACGUUAUCAUUUGUCUUACAAAAUUGUGCGAACAGAUAGUCGCCUGGUACGCAGCAUUCUGACAGCCCAUGGAUUUCAUGAAGUUCACCCAAGCAGCACUGACUAUAACCUAAUGUGGACAGGAUCCCACCUGAAGCCCUUCUUACUUCGCACCCUCUCCGAAGCACAAAAGGUUAAUCACUUUCCCAGGUCCUAUGAACUAACCCGGAAAGACCGACUAUACAAAAACAUCAUUCGAAUGCAGCAUACGCACGGAUUCAAGGCUUUUCACAUCCUCCCUCAGACCUUCCUUCUGCCAGCCGAGUAUGCGGAAUUCUGUAAUUCAUAUUCAAAGGACCGGGGACCUUGGAUAGUAAAGCCAGUGGCCUCUUCUAGGGGGCGGGGCGUCUACCUGAUCAACAAUCCGAACCAGAUUUCCCUGGAGGAGAACAUCCUGGUCUCCCGUUACAUUAACAACCCCCUGCUCAUAGACGAUUUCAAGUUUGAUGUGCGCCUCUAUGUGCUUGUGACUUCCUAUGAUCCUCUUGUCAUUUAUCUCUAUGAAGAAGGAUUGGCUAGGUUUGCAACUGUGCGAUAUGAUCAAGGAGCCAAGAACAUUCGGAACCAGUUCAUGCACCUGACAAACUACAGUGUGAAUAAGAAGAGUGGAGACUAUGUCAGCUGUGAUGAUCCCGAGGUGGAGGAUUAUGGGAACAAAUGGAGCAUGAGUGCCAUGCUUAGGUAUCUGAAACAGGAAGGCAGAGAUACAACUGCGUUGAUGGCCCAUGUGGAAGACCUGAUUAUUAAGACUAUAAUCUCUGCUGAACUAGCUAUUGCUACAGCCUGUAAAACCUUUGUUCCUCACCGCAGCAGUUGUUUUGAACUCUAUGGCUUUGAUGUGCUCAUAGAUUCUACUCUGAAGCCAUGGUUGUUGGAAGUAAAUCUCUCCCCUUCUUUGGCCUGUGAUGCACCUCUGGACCUAAAGAUUAAAGCCAGUAUGAUUUCAGAUAUGUUCACUGUUGUAGGAUUUGUGUGCCAGGACCCUGCCCAGAGGGCAUCAACCCGGCCAAUUUAUCCCACCUUUGAGUCUUCCAGGAGAAACCCUUUCCAAAAACCUCAGCGUCCAGUGUCUGCACAGUUUCAGUCCUCAGAUGCCAAACUGCGUUCCCGUCCACUGUCUGCCAGUGAUGCGGAAAUAAAAAACCUUGUGGGCUCAGCUCGAGAGAAGGUGCCGGGGAAGUUAGGUGGUUCUGUGCUCGGUCUGUCAAUGGAGGAGAUCAAAGUUUUACGGAGAGUGAAGGAAGAAAAUGAUCGGAGAGGUGGAUUUAUUCGCAUAUUCCCUACAUCAGAAACAUGGGAAAUAUAUGGGUCCUACCUUGAACACAAGACCUCCAUGAACUAUAUGCUGGCAACACGUCUCUUUCAGGACAGGGGAAACCCAAGAAGAAGCUUAUUGACAGGAAGAACACGACUAGCUGCUGAUGGAGCACCAGAAUUAAAGGUAGAGAGUAUGAAUUCAAAGGCCAAACUGCACGCUGCUCUCUAUGAGAGGAAGCUUCUGUCUUUGGAGGUGCGAAAACGUCGACGACGGAGUGGCAGAUUGAGGGCAAUGAGGCCAAAAUACCCAGGUACCCGCUGCAACAUUAGUGAUUCUUCGCAUUUAGUGAUCACUCAGCCAGCUGAAAUGAAUGUUAAAACUGAGACAGAGAGUGAAGAGGAGGAAGAGGUCACGUUAGACAAUGAAGACGAAGAGCAGGAGGCUUCCCAGGAGGAAUCCGCAGGGCCCCUUGGAGAAGAUCAAGCCAAAUACACCCCCUCAUUGACUGUUAUGGUAGAAAAUUCACCCAAAGAAAAUGCCAUGAAAGUUUCUGAAGGGAAUAAAGGUGAACAGUGCUGCAAAAUUGAGACUCAGAAGCCAGAGCCUAAAUUUAACCUGAUGCAGAUUCUGCAGGAUAACGGCAAUCUCAGCAAAGUGCAGGCCCGAAUAGCAUUCUCUGCCUAUCUCCAGCAUGUUCAAAUUCGCCUGAUGAAAGACAGUGGAGGUCAAACGUUCAAUGCCAGUUGGGCUGCCAAAGAGGAUGAACAGAUGGAGUUAGUGGUUCGCUUCCUUAAACGAGCGUCCAGUAACCUCCAGCACUCACUGAGGAUGGUAUUACCCAGUCGACGCUUGGCACUUCUGGAACGCAGAAGAAUCUUGGCCCACCAACUGGGUGAUUUUAUUAUUGUGUAUAACAAGGAAACAGAACAGAUGGCUGAAAAGAAAUCAAAGAAGAAACUUGAAGAAGAAGAGGAAGAUGGGGUGAAUACAGAAAACUUUCAGGAGUUCAUCAGAGAAGCAAGUGAGGCUGAGCUGGAGGAGGUGUUGACUUUUUAUACCCAAAAAAACAAGUCUGCAAGUGUCUUCCUGGGGACUCACUCAAAAAGUUCUAAAAACAGCAACAGUUAUUCUGAUAGCGGGGCAAAGGGUGAUCACCCUGAGACAGUGGAGGAAGGGAAAAUAAAGCAGCCCAAACAGCAGCAGGAAACAGAAAUUCACUCUGAUAAAUUAUCUCGAUUUACCACUUCAGCAGAAAAAGAGGCUAAAUUAGUCUAUACAAAUUCUCCCUCUGCUUCUUUCUCUGGUCCUGCUGCUACUCUUCUGCAGAAAAUUCCCAAUACCCACUUGUCAUCUAUUAUUACAACCUCUGACCUCUCACCAGGGCCUGGCCACCAUUCUUCUUUAUCUCAGAUUCCUCCAGCUAUCCCCAGCAUGUCUUACCAGCCAACAAUUUUACUGAGCACAGUCCCUGACAGUGCCUCUCCCUCCAUACAUCCUGGGACACAGAUCGCACCAAGCCCUGCUGGCCUGCCACGCUGUCGAUCAGGCAGUUGCACCAUUGGCCCCUUUUCCUCUUUCCAAAGUGCUGCACACAUCUAUAGCCAGAAACUGUCUCGUCCCUCUUCAGCAAAGGCAGCAGGUUCAUGCCAUCCGAACAAGCUGCACUCGGGAAUGGCUAAAACUCAGAGAGAGGAAGAAGAUGGCUCUCCGUACAGUAGACGGUAUAACCCGAGUAUGGUUACGGCCGAGCUUCAGCGGCUGGCUGAGAAGCAGGCAGCCAGGCAGUAUUCCCCAUCCACCCACAUCAGUCUCCUCACCCAGCAGGUAACAAACCUGAAUUUGGCAAGUGGCGUCAUAAACAGAAGCAGUGCUUCAACCCCCCCUACCCUUCGGCCUGUCAUCAGUCCUAGUGGCCCGACAUGGUCAAUACAGUCAGACGCCCAAGCUCCUGAGAGCCACUCCACCCCUCCUGGAAGCAGGAGCCUUCAAACAGGUGGCUUUGCCUGGGAGGGAGAGGUAGAGAACAACGCGUAUAGCAAGGCUACAGGGGUGGUCCCCCAGCACAAGUAUCACCCCACAGCGGGCAGUUACCAACUCCAUUUUGCCCUGCAGCAACUUGAGCAACAAAAACUUCAGUCCCGGCAGCUUCUGGACCAGAGUCGAGCCCGGCACCAGGCCGUCUUUGGCAGCCAGACACUAUCAAACUCCAAUUUAUGGACAAUAAAUAAUGGUGCAGCUUGCAGAAUUUCAAGUGCCACAGCUAGUGGCCAGAAGCCAACCACUCUGCCACAAAAAGUGGUGCCACCUCCAAGUUCUUCCUCCUCGCUGUUCCCCAAGCCCCCAGCCAAUCACAAACAAGUCCUCAGAAAGACAACAUCCCAGAGGGCCUCCAAAGGCUCAGCCACAGAAGGGCAGCUGAACGGACUCCAGAGCAGCCUUAACGCUGCGGCCUUUGCGCCCAUCACCAGCUCCACAGGCUCUUUGGAAGCUCCCCAUGUUAUUUUCGCCAGAUCCAAACCCUUGCCCACACAAUCUGGAGCCCUUGCUACAGUUACAGGACAGAGAAAAUCAAGGGCCAAUUUAAGGGCUGCCUCCGCUCCGCACAGACCCCUUGCAGCCGCGCCCGGCGCCCCCGUGUCACCAGGCCGGGUUUCAGGAAAUGGAUCUGCUGCUCUUGCCGCCUGUGUUGUUCAUUCCUACAUACUGGACCUGUGCCCGGGAAGAUCCUGCUCACGCUAAGAGAUGAACCGUCACCGCACACGGGUAGAAGCUCUUUGCUAACCCGCCUCCUGCGGGGGUGUGACCGAGGCCAAAGCAUCCACCGUUGCUGCGAGGGGUCCACGGAUGUCUCCAUUGGGCUGAAAGGUGUGACAUGGACAGUGAAUGCUGAUUUCCAGACCUAAGUUGGACUCUGCAAAAUAAGACAAGGAAGCAGUAAGAACAUUCUUUAUGUGAUGGGGAAAUGUGCCCAUCACCAUGCACGGCUGACAAGGCCUAUGCUCCCAUAGGCAGGCACAGGAGCUGAGUAAUAGCGAGAGUCAUAGGAGACAGAAGGUGCCACCAAAGCUAGAGUGGACCUCCACACAUGUUACCACAUUGCAGGUAUUUCUGUUAUGUCAUGAACAACCAAAUAAAGGCAUUAAUUAAGGGGCAUUAUAGAGGAGAACUUUCCUUUUUUUUUAGAAGAUUUGUUUAUUUGAGAGAGAGCAAGUGUGGGCACGUGUAUGCACACGGGGUGGUGGCAGAAGAAGAGGGAGAGAGAGAAUCUCAAGCAGACUCUGUGCUGAGCCCAACAAGGGGCUCGAUCUCAGGACCCUGAAAUCACGACCUGAGCCAAAACCAAGAGCCGGACACCUAAUUGAGUGCACCACCCAGGCAUCCUGAAGGAGAAUAUUCAUAGUCAUCUAUUUUCAAAGGAUGGUAUUGGGAAAAAAUUGUCACCUGCCUACUCGGGGGCAAAAGAAUGAGGAUACAAGAAGGAAAAAACCAUCAUCCUACUGAGGUGCUUGUUGGGAGAAGAGAUACUUGAGCCAACCUGCUGAGGCAGGAUGAAGUGGGAGGCAGGGGAACCAGGAGAGCCCAGGGGAAGGGGCUCACUGAAGAACUUCGGGGCAGAGAAGCAGUGAUUCAAAAAGCCACAAAUUCUGCGAGAUGGGGGAAGACGGCAGAGUCUGAGCCAUAGGAUUAGAAGUCAGGAAGCAAAGCUAGGGGCAAGGUCACCUGCAGACAAACAGCCGAGUCCGUCUACAGGGAAGAUGCCAGGCUUUCUGCCAGGGCCCUGAUUGUGGGUGUAAAUGGAGUGGUAGUUUCCCAAGGAGAGAAGAUGAAAAUCACAGUUACCCUUGGCCAUAUUUUCCUUAAGGGAUCAGGACAGAAUGAGGUCAAAGUUACUUGGACGUUUCUUCUCUGGAAAUCCCUGUUCAGUUAAUGGGGAAGCUGGAGAUGUGGAUGGCUCACUGGGGGAAAAUGAGCCGCUCAGGAAGACCGUUGUGAAAUCAGAGGACAGGCCGGAGGAGAUGGCCAAGGGCCAAGGGCCCAGAUGACAUGAGCUUGGAGAGAGCCAGAAGGAGGAAAUGUGGAGAUGCCAGGGUUUGCUGACAGAUCCUCUGGUGCAAGAAGGCCAGCUGUGGCCCUUUCUCCUUUUCGUGGUAUUUGCAUUU